rnacentral:rRNA from 1 species
GACGAACGCUGGCGGCGUGCUUAACACAUGCAAGUCGAACGAAGAGCGAUGGACGCUUGCUUCUAUCAAUCUUAGUGGCGAACGGGUGAGUAACGCGUAAACAACCUGCCCUUCAGAGGGGGACAACAGUUGGAAACGACUGCUAAUACCGCAUACGAUCUAACCUCGGUAUCGAGGAAAGAUGAAAGGUGGCCUCUAUGUAUAAGCUAUCACUGAAGGAGGGGAUUGCGUCUGAUUAGCUAGUUGGAGGGGUAAGGGCCCACCAAGGCGAUGAUCAGUAGCCGGUCUGGGAGGAUGAACGGCCAAAAUGGGACUGGGACACGGCCCAGACUCCUACGGGAAGCAGCAGGGGGGAAUCUUCCGGAAUGGACGGAAGGCUGACGGGGCAACGCCGCGUGAGGGAUGACGGCCUUCGGGUUGGAAAGCUCUGUUAAUCGGGACGAAAGGCCUUCUUGCGAAUAGUGAGAAGGAUUGACGGUACCGGAACAGAAAGCCACGGCUAACUACGUG